AUUAUACAAGAUCUGUGCUGUGCAGAUGAUCACGUCUGAGUCCUGCACUACUUUCCCAAAGAAGUCCUUUUCCUCACUCUCUCCACUGACUGGUGUCAAGGUGUAGUCACGGCCCAGGACCAUCACUUUUGCCUGUGGUGUGGUCUCUAAGUGGUUUUUGGCCACAUACACAGCAGCACGGGUCUUUCCACCUCCUGUCGGCAGCCAAAUGAUUAUAUUCUCUCUCCGAAGAGCUCUUUCAACCACCUCUUCCUGAACGGCCUUACUGAGGGAGGCUCUGGAGGAUCAACAGCUGGUUUCCAUCUUGCAGUGACAGAGGAAGCCUGAGCUACACUCAGAAUAACAGGAUUAAGGAGAAACUACUGGCCCGAUUUUUCAUUCCACUUGGUGAAAGCAUGUAGCAUGGACCAUCGAGGAACCCAUUAAAUGUUGGACUGGAUCUGAAUCACGGUGCGAAUACACUAGUUAUGUUUCACUUCCAAUAACAUUGCGAGACAGGGCAUUCAAUCUGAGCAGAAUAAAUGCUAUACAUCUUUAAAUCUAGUAGAUGGUUGUAAAAUACAAUGACUCCCAUCACAAUCCACAUUCAGGAGUACCAGUAGUAGUUGUGGUGGUAGAAGUAGUUGCUCAAACUUGAUACAGAAAGCAGUUCUCAUGGAGCGCUCAGGGACAGUGGUUUCAUGGGAGAACCAGUGCAAUUGCAACACUAUUUCUCAAACUAC